rnacentral:rRNA from 1 species
CCUACGGGAGGCAGCAGUAGGGAAUCUUCCACAAUGGACGAAAGUCUGAUGGAGCAACGCCGCGUGCGUGAAGAAGGGUUUCUGCUCGUAAAGCUCUGUUGGUAGUGAAGUAAGCUAGAGGUAGUAUCUGGCCUUUACUUGACGGUAUUUCUUUAGACAGUCACGGCUAACUACGUGCCAGCCUCCGCGGUAAUACGUAUGUGGCAAGCGGUUUCCGGAUUUAUUGGGCGUAAAGCGAGUGCAGGCGGUUCACUAAUUCUGAUGUGAAAGGCUUCGGCUCAACCGGAGAAUUGCCGCGGAAACUGUUGAACUUGAGUGCGGAAGAGGAGAGUGGAACU